AAUGCUAAGUGACAGAUAACAGCAGUUUGCGCGUUUUGUAUCCAUGUACAAACAAGGAUGCGAAAUGCGUAAACUGCUGUUAUCUGUCACUUUGUCAC